rnacentral:rRNA from 1 species
AGAGUUUGAUCAUGGCUCAGAAUCAACGCUGGCGGCGUGCCUAACACAUGCAAGUCGAACGAGAAAGUGGUAGCAAUACCAUGAGUAAAGUGGCGCACGGGUGAGUAACACGUGACUAACCUACCCUUGAGUGGGGGAUAACUGAGGGAAACCUUAGCUAAUACCGCAUAAUACCCACGGGUCAAAGGAGCAAUUCGCUCGAGGAGGGGGUCGCGGCCGAUUAGUUAGUUGGCGGGGUAAUGGCCCACCAAGACUGUGAUCGGUAUCCGGCCUGAGAGGGCGCACGGACACACUGGAACUGAAACACGGUCCAGACUCCUACGGGAGGCAGCAGUGGGGAAUUUUGCGCAAAGUGGGGGAAACCCUGACGCAGCAACGCCGCGUGGAGGAUGAAGUACUUCGGUACGUAAACUCCUUUCGAUCGGGACGAUUAUGACGGUACCGGAAGAAGAAGCCCCGGCUAACUUCGUGCCAGCCGCCGC